AUUGAACGCUGGCGGCAUGCCUUACACAUGCAAGUCGAACGGUAACAGGUCUUCGGAUGCUGACGAGUGGCGAACGGGGGAGUAAUACAUCGGAACGUGCCUAGUAGUGUGGGAUAACUACUCGAAAGAGUGGCCAAUACCGCAUGCGAUCUACGGCUGAAAGCAGGGGAUGGCAAGACCCUGUGCGACUAGCGCGGCCGAUGGCAGAUUAGGUAGUUGGUGGGAUAGAAGCUUACCAAGCCGACGAUCUGUAGCUGGUCUGAGAGGACGAUCAGCCACACUGGGACUGAGAAACGGCCCAGACUCCUACGGGAGGCAGCAGUGGGGAAUUUUGGACAAUGGGCGAAAGCCUGAUCCAGCAAUGCCGCGUGCAGGAUGAAGGCCUUCGGGUUGUAAACUGCUUUUGUACGGAACGAAAAGCCCUGGGUUAAUACCCUGGGGUCAUGACGGUACCGUAAGAAUAAGCACCGGCUAACUACGUGCCAGCAGCCGCCGUAA
rnacentral:rRNA from 1 species